GAUCCCUUAGCUCAGCGGUAGAGCGUCUGAUUCCAGUUCCCACCAGCUCUUCAUAGAAGCUUUGGAUCCAGAAGGUCAUCCGUUCAAUCCGGGUAGGGGUCA